rnacentral:rRNA from 1 species
AGCAGUAGCCACGGGAAUACGAAGGGGGCUAGCGUUGUUCGGAAUUACUGGGCGUAAAGCGCACGUGGGCGGACAUUUAAGUCAGGGGUGAAAUCCCGGGGCUCAACCCCGGAACUGCCUUUGAUACUGGGUGUCUUGAGUGUGGAAGAGGUCAGUGGAAUUGCGAGUGUAGAGGUGAAAUUCGUAGAUAUUCGCAGGAACACCAGUGGCGAAGGCGGCUGACUGGUCCACAACUGACGCUGAGGUGCGAAAGCGUGGGGAGCAAACAGGAUUAGAUACCCCAGUAGUCCCUGUCUCUUAUAC